GUCCAGGGUAGCCUAGUGGACAUGGCAUCUGCCCGGUAAGCGGAACACUGUGGGUUCGAUUCCCAUCCUUUGACA